rnacentral:rRNA from 1 species
CUACGGGCGGCAGCAGUGAGGAAUAUUGCACAAUGGGGGGAACCCUGAUGCAGCAAUGCCGCGUGGAGGAUGACGCAUUUCGGUGUGUAAACUCCUUUUAUAUGUCAAGAAAAUGACGGUAGCAUAUGAAUAAGCACCGGCUAACUCCGUGCCAGCAGCCGCGGUAAUACGGAGGGUGCAAGCGUUACUCGGAAUCACUGGGCGUAAAGGACGCGUAGGCGGGUUGGAAAGCCAGGUGUGAAAUCCUACAGCUUAACUGUAGAACUGCACUUGAAACUUCUAAUCUAGAGUAUGGGAGGGGGAGAUGGAAUUAGUGGUGUAGGGGUAAAAUCCGUAGAUAUCACUAGGAAUACCUAAAGCGAAGGCGAUCUCCUGGAACAUUACUGACGCUAAGGCGUGAAAGCGUGGGGAGCAAACAGGAUUAGAUACCCUAGUAGUC